rnacentral:rRNA from 1 species
UACGUAGGGGGCUAGCGUUGUCCGGAAUCAUUGGGCGUAAAGCGCGCGUAGGCGGGUUGGUAAGUCCGCUGUGAAAGCCCGGGGCUUAACCCCGGAGGGUCGGUGGAUACUGCCAGUCUUGAAGGUGCUAGGGAGAGAUGGAAUUACCGGUGUAGCGGUGAAAUUCGUAGAUAUUCGGAAGAACACCAGUGGCGAAGGCGGCUCACUGGCCCGGUACUGACGCUGAGGUGCGAAAGCG